AUGGAGGAGAUAAAAAGCUUGGACCUCUCACACAACAAGUUGAGUGGACCAAUACCUUGGCCGUUGACCCAGUUAUCAGCUCUGGACCUCUCACACAACAACUUGUCAGGAUGCAGACCAAACUCUGGUCAGCUCAGCUCAUUCGGCAUGGACAGCUACCUAGGCAACACCAACCUUCACAAUAUUACUCAGGGGAAUACUUGUGCUGCUCCCGGUCCAGAUCCUGCUGUGGGGAAAGUUGUGGAAGAGACAGCCAGUGACCCAGUUCUAUAUGUGGUCACAGCUGCUGGCUUUGUGUUGACAUUUUGGGCCACUCUCGGGUUCUCAUUUUGCCAUCCUUACGGAAAAUCUGUAAUGCUCAAGCUGUAG
rnacentral:rRNA from 1 species